rnacentral:rRNA from 1 species
UACGGGGGGGGCAAGCGUUGUUCGGAAUUACUGGGCGUAAAGAGCUCGUAGGCGGCUUGUCGCGUCGACUGUGAAAACCCGUGGCUCAACCAUGUGGUCUGCAGUCGAUACGGGCAGACUAGAGUACUGCGGGGGAGACUGGAAUUCCUGGUGUAGCGGUGGAAUGCGCAGAUAUCAGGAAGAACACCCGUGGCUAAGGCGGUUCUCUAGUACGGUACUGACGCUGAGACGCGAAAGCGUGGGGAGCGAACAGG